rnacentral:rRNA from 1 species
UACGUAGGGGGCUAGCGUUGUCCUGAAUCAUUGGGCGUAAAGCGCGCGUAGGCGGCCCGGUAAGUCCGCUGUAAAAGUCAAAGGCUCAACCUUUGAAUGUCAGUGGAUACUGCCGGGCUAGAGUCCGGAAGAGGCGAGUGGAACUCCUGGUGUAGCGGUGGAAUGCGCAGAUAUCAGGAAGAACACCAACGGCGAAGGCAGCUCGCUGGGACGGAACUGACGCUAAGGCGCGAAAGCGUGGGGAGCGAACAGG